rnacentral:rRNA from 1 species
CUUAACUGUAAGCUGUCACUGGUUUUUCGGUUUCAAUGCUCAGCGUAAGUGGGAGACUUCGAAGCGGCCCUUCAGGGGGUUGCAGAGUCGCCAAUGAGACACCACCCUUUGAAUUUGGAAAAUCUAACAUCCUGCCCUUACCGGGCGGAAGGACAAUGGCAGCCGGUCAGUUUUACUGGGGCGGUAUCCUCCCGAAGUGUAACGGAGGAGCGCGAAGUUUGGCUCAGCGUGGUUGGCAAUCACGUUUCGAGUGUAUAGGCAUAAGCCAGACUAACUGCGAGACAAACAAGUCGAGCAGAUACGAAAGUAGGCCUAAGUGAUCCGGUAGUUGAAUGUGGAAUUGCUAUCGCUCAACGGAUAAAAGGUA